rnacentral:rRNA from 1 species
CCUACGGGAGGCAGCAGUGGGGAAUAUUGGGCAAUGGGCGCAAGCCUGACCCAGCAACGCCGCGUGAAGGAAGAAGGCUUUCGGGUUGUAAACUUCUUUUAAGAGGGAAGAGCAGAAGACGGUACCUCUUGAAUAAGCCACGGCUAACUACGUGCCAGCAGCCGCGGUAAUACGGAGGAUCCAAGCGUUAUCCGGAUUUAUUGGGUUUAAAGGGUGCGUAGGCGGAUUGAUAAGUUAGAGGUGAAAUGUCCGAGCUUAACUGGGGAACUGCCUCUAAUACUGUUGAUCUAGAGAGUAGAUGCGGGAGGCGGAAUGUUGGGUGUAGCGGUGAAAUGCGAAGAGAUCAUACAGAACACCGAUGGCGAAGGCAGCUUCCCAAUCUAUAGCGGACGUUGAGGCACGAAAGCGUGGGGAGCAAACGGGAUUAGAUACCCGAGUAGUC